CCUGACAGGUUGUCCUAUAAAAUGGACCACCAACGAUGACAUCCGAGAGAGGUCGAGAUGCAGGCUACAGAUCAUUCACACUGUUGGGGGGAGGAGAAUCCCGCUAGGUGGGACCUGCGUCAUCACUUCUCAACCUCCCUCUACAUUAGUAUCUCAAAGAGCAAGUUCUUGUCUCCACUCUCCAAGGAUGAGGAUGGAGGAAGUUCAGGAACGCAGACGCGCUACAGGAUCGCCGGGGGAUUCUUGUUGCAAGCAGCGGAAUAUCUUGAGUUACAGUAACUAAAAAAGACCUUACUUUUUAAAAAUCAUCUUUCCUAAUAAGAACUCUGGAGACGGUUAUUUGCUGGAUUGGUUCGAGAAGGGGGUCAACAGACUCCCGCUCGUGGGUCAAAUCCACCCCCCCCCCCACCAAGCCAUUUUCUUCUUCUACCUGAAAAUUAAGUAAGUUUGCUAACAAAACUGCAGCAGAGGUGGCCCACAAAGCUUAAAUAUUUAAGUGUCUAGCGCUUCGCGAGACAAGCUCUCUGACCCUUGGUUCACGAUUCGAUCGUGUUCCUCAAGAUCUCAGCCUCCAUCUUUGGCCCUCUUCAGCUCUCCGAGCUGUCUUUGUGCCAGACCGCAACCAAGCUCCACACAGCCUGACUGAAGAAAGGAAAGAUGUACUAUAUCCUCUCUCGCUUUUGAGACUCUGAAUGAGGAAUCUUUUCCCAGACGGCUGAAUCAGACAGUUCCUGUUGGCGGGGACUCCAUCAAAUAGAAUAGCAAAUAUCAAGGAAAGAUGGGAGAAGGUCUGGCUAGAGUCUUCCUUCUCCCUGUGGGAGGAGACUUUGGCUGUGAACUUAGAUUGGAUAUCGAGAGCUACCUUAUGUUGAGAUGUGCUCACCCAAAAAGUGCAGUUCUUAGAGCGGCUCAUCACAGCACGUUAGACUCCAAGGCUUGAAACCCAUCACAAACACAGAUACACUCGCCAGUGAGAGACGAGGCACUGCUGACCAUCCUAGCUCCGGGUCUGUAAAAUGCAGGCUGGAAGAAAACCUGUGAGAUAAACGGCUGAUGUUUAAAUCUAAACUUUAAGAACUAAGUUAUAUUAUCUCUGACGUCUUCUGGAGGAAAAUUAAUUAUAUAUGUCUACCUAUGUGGUUUUGAUAAUGAGAGAAAGGUAUGAAAUUGCCAUAGCAGGUAAGGAGAGUGCGCACGGUCUUUGUGCUCUCAGUUUUAAAUACACGCGUAGGAGCCACAUACUGAAUGCACCUAGAAAUCUGUGUGCAACACCCUGUGUGUUGUGUGUGUGUUUGUGUUCUCACAUCUGCAGAGCGGUGGCACGCAGCUUGGUAACUGCAGCUGAGACCCUGUGAGGAAGGGCUCAGCAUGUUAGGGACUCCUCACUUACCCCUCCUUGACAGCCUAGGAUAAGGUGCCAGCUCAUUCCACCAUAGAGAGCAGGGAACUGGGAAGAUGUGAACCUAUCUUCAUUGGAGUAUGUCCCAUUCAUUUUCAAUAGAACUUUUAUCAAAAUCAAAAUUCUUGUAAUGCUGACCUUAAAUAAGAGACUUUGAAGAACAAAAGUUUUUACCCUUGACUUUCUUCUCGGAUCACCAGGGGAUGAUGAUUGGAAGUGAGAAGGUUCAUGUUGGAUCCUCAAGCCUUGUGCUGUGGUGGGGUAGGGGUGGAAACGUUAAUAUUCAGUAAGGGCUUAACUUCCUUAGAAAGUCACCAGCCCCCCUCUCCUGCUUGGGACAGCACACGUGUGCCUUUCCCCUGGAGCCACAGAGUCCUGGGUCUGCCGGAAUCAGGAAAAUGGGAUUCUGGUGGCCUUUGCUUUGACACUUGUCCAUAGAAGACCACCCAGCCCAUGAAGCAUAGUCAGCGUGAGUCUCUCAGAAACUCUACUAGCCCUGGUGGGUCUUUUUCUGACUUAUCUCCACAAAUGACUCCAUUAGUGAGCAGUAUGCUUGUCUAUGGAGGAGAUGAGUGUGGUGGUCCUUAAUGGGUCGUGUCAGCAUAAAUGCCCCAUGAUACAGGCCUAGGUCCAUCCUUUCACAUGGCUCUCCCUCCUAGAUUUCCUUGGGAUUUUUUAGGAUUAGGGCCAGAAAUCUGAGUAUUCUAUAGAGGGUGCCUUUUGAAAUCAAUGUACUUUUACCAUGGGAGAUGGUUAAAAAAAGAAUUCCUGGGGUUGUAGCUAGUCCUACUAUGAGGAGCCAAGGAGUUUCUGAGAGGAUGACGAGUAUGGAAGUCAGUGGAAAAUAAGGAGAUGAUGCAUCUACCAAAGUCCAGAGAUGUUCCUUUCCUGGCACAGACACUGACAGUCCGAAUGUCUGCAGUUUCCUGCUUCUGUUUACCAGGGGGAUGACGAUGACAACUGAAUCCAGAAUGGGCGACACCCAGUACAACUUCACAUUGGAAAUACUUGUCGCCCUGCAAAACACCUGUGUGCUCAGGCUUGCCAGCUCUCGUUUAAUAAUUAAAAUGGGGACCCAUUUAUCCACUGGCUGGGGCAGGCUGGCAUGAGGGUGUUUAUUGAUCUGGUGUUUUACUGCGAAGAGCAAACUCCUGCUGUUCGCCCUGCACACCUGUCAAAAAUCACUGCUCUGUCACCUGAGUGUGAGGCUGUCAGAGGAGGCUGUGAGGGCGACUCUGGGAGACAGCUUCCCACAGGAAGUCAGAGGCUAAGCAUGGAGACCUGCAGGAGGAGCCUCAGUCGGUAUUUGCACUGGUCCUGGUGACUUUGGAAGCUCUGUUUGCUUAACUGCUGGAUCUCCAGAAUGACCUGUGAAUAAUACAUGAGCCAUUUGCCCUGUCUUAGGUGUGGGAUGCCUUGUCUUGUAAAACAAGAACUAUGGCAGGCGCCUCUUUUUUCCCAUCAGUACCCUGUUUUCUCUGCAUUCUUGCUCAAAGCAUAACAGUGUAUUUUCCUCUGUUCUUGUCCAAUGAGAAGAUUACAAAAUGUCACCUUAAUAACUAAGAUUUCUGGGCUAAGCUUGAGAGUUGCCUGGCUAUAAGUGCUAGUGGACAGUUACCUAAAUAAUUCAGCAAGAUCUUACAGCUUCAUAAAAUGGACGGCCGCAUCUCUGGAGUCCCCGACUCCUUCUCUGGGUCAUCAGGAAUGUAUAAAUAAGGACCAUAUUGGAUUUCAAGUGAUAAAAAUCUGCUAGAUGCUGCUGAAGCAAAACAGAGGGGAUUUAUUUUUGAAAUAUUUGGGGCCUCACCAGCUGCACAGCACAAAGCAUCUUAGAGAAGGGCUGGGGCCCAGGACGAAAGAAAAGCCUGUGAGAUUAUGUUCCCAGCCUCAUCUGCGUUCCCUUCAGGGAUCCUGCAAUGAAGCACCGUGAACACAGUGGGGUUUAGACAACCCCUAGGCGUGGUUACUCAGAAACAUUAACUCCCACCAGCUAAAAGCAAGGGAUUGGCUCUCUGCUGUAAUAAUUCACAACCAGAUUCCAGAUUUUGGAAUUUUAAUAACCACUGGCAUAAAUAAAUACUGCUUCUGUUUCCAAUUUAAUGAAGACCUGACAUUUAGGGACCCACAACCCUAAACCACUUCCCUGAGAAGCAUUGUGGAAGGAAAGGUAGUCACCACCUGGCAUAGGAUAUGUGGGCAGCGUAGGGGUGAACAUACUCUAUCCCCAAAGAGGCAGGCAGGCAUAGGGCAUGUGGGCAGGGCAGGGGCGAACACACUCUAUCCCCAAAGAGGCAGGCAGGAAACCUGAAUUUGCUCAGGCCUGGCCAGCCACGUGGUCCCCGUCACAUACAAUCAACUCUGGCUUUGCACAAAACGUACCCACAGACAAUACACAAAUGGAUUAGUUUUGGUCUAUUCCAAUAAACUUUCUGGGAUGAAUUUGGGCUUUCAUGUACCA